rnacentral:rRNA from 1 species
GCCUAAGGCCAUACCACCCUGAAAGCGCCCGAUCUCGUCUGAUCUCGGAAGCUAAGCAGGGACGGGCUUGGUUAGUACCUGGAUGAGAGACCGCCUGGGAAUACCAGGUGUUGUAGGCU